CCUACGGGUGGCAGCAGUGAGGAAUAUUGGUCAAUGGGCGUAAGCCUGAACCAGCCAAGUCGCGUGAGGGAUGAAGGUUCUAUGGAUCGUAAACCUUUUUUAUAAGGGAAUAAAGUGCGGGACGUGUCCCGGUUUGUAUGUACCUUAUGAAUAAGGAUCGGCCAACCCCGUGCCAGCAGCCGCGGUAAUACGGAGGAUCGGAGCGUUAUCCGGAUUUAAUGGGUUUAAAGGGUGCGUAGGCGGCCUUUUAAGUCAGCGGUGAAAGUCUGUGGCUCAACCAUAGAAUUGCCUUUGAAACUGGGAGGCUUGAGUAUGUUUGAGGCAGGCGGAAUGCGUGGUGUAGCGGUGAAAUGCGUAGAGAUCACGCAGAACCCCGAUGGCGAAGGCGGCCUGCCAGGCCAUGACUGACGCUGAUGCACGAAAGCGUGGGGAUCAAACAGGAUUAGAUACCCCUGUAGUC
rnacentral:rRNA from 1 species